rnacentral:rRNA from 1 species
CAGCCGCCGCGGUAAUACGGAGGGGGCUAGCGUUGUUCGGAAUUACUGGGCGUAAAGCGCACGUAGGCGGCUUUGUAAGUUAGAGGUGAAAGCCCGGAGCUCAACUCCGGAAUUGCCUUUAAGACUGCAGGGCUAGCAGGUGAGAGAGGUGAGUGGAAUUCCGAGUGUAGAGGUGAAAUUCGUAGAUAUUCGGAAGAACACCAGUGGCGAAGGCGGCUCACUGGCUCAUACUGGACGCUGAGGUGCGAAAGCGUGGGGAGCAAACAGGAUUAGAUACCCCUGUAGUCCCUGUCUCUUAUAC